rnacentral:rRNA from 1 species
ACUGUUUAUUAAAAACACAGCACUCUGCAAACACGAAAGUGGACGUAUAGGGUGUGAUGCCUGCCCGGUGCUGGAAGGUUAAUUGAUGGUGUAAUCGAAAGAGAAGCUCCUGAUCGAAGCCCCAGUAAACGGCGGCCGUAACUAUAACGGUCCUAAGGUAGCGAAAUUCCUUGUCGGGUAAGUUCCGACCUGCACGAAUGGCAUAAUGAUGGCCAGGCUGUCUCCACCCGAGACUCAGUGAAAUUGAAAUCGCCGUGAAGAUGCGGUGUACCCGCGGCUAGACGGAAAGACCCCGUGAACCUUUACUAUAGCUUGACACUGAACAUUGAAUUUUGAUGUGUAGGAUAGGUGGGAGACUUUGAAGAUGAUACGCCAGUAUUGUUGGAGUCGUCCUUGAAAUACCACCCUUUAACGUUUGAUGUUCUAACGAAGAUUACGAAACGUGGUCUCGGACAGUGUCUGGUGGGUAGUUUGACUGGGGCGGUCUCCUCCCAAAGAGUAACGGAGGAGCACGAAGGUUUGCUAAUGACGGUCGGACAUCGUCAGGUUAGUGCAAUGGUAUAAGCAAGCUUAACUGCGAGACAGACAAGUCGAGCAGGUACGAAAGUAGGUCAUAGUGAUCCGGUGGUUCUGAAUGGAAGGGCCAUCGCUCAACGGAUAAAAGGUACUCCGGGGAUAACAGGCUGAUACCGCCCAAGAGUUCAUAUCGACGGCGGUGUUUGGCACCUCGAUGUCGGCUCAUCACAUCCUGGGGCUGAAGUAGGUCCCAAGGGUAUGGCUGUUCGCCAUUUAAAGUGGUACGCGAGCUGGGUUUAGAACGUCGUGAGACAGUUCGGUCCCUAUCUGCCGUGGGCGUUGGAGAAUUGAAAGGGGCUGCUCCUAGUACGAGAGGACCGGAGUGGACGCACCACUGGUGUUCCGGUUGUGUCGCCAGACGCAUUGCCGGGUAGCUAAGUGCGGAAGAGAUAAGUGCUGAAAGCAUCUAAGCACGAAACUUGCCUUGAGAUGAGUUCUCCCUGUCUUUAAGACAGUAAGGGUUGUUUAAGACUAAGACGUAGAUAGGUCUGGUGUGUAAGCGGUGCGAGCCGUUGAGCUAACAGAUACUAAUUGCCCGAGAGGCUUAACUAU